rnacentral:rRNA from 1 species
CGAGCGGUAAGGCCCCUUCGGGGGUACACGAGCGGCGAACGGGUGAGUAACACGUGAGCAAUCUGCCCCUGUCUCUGGGAUAACCACUGGAAACGGUGGCUAAUACCGGAUAUGACCACCUUUCGCAUGUUGGGUGGUGGAAAGGUCCGCUGGACAGGGAUGAGCUCGCGGCCUAUCAGCUUGUUGGUGGGGUAAUGGCCUACCAAGGCGACGACGGGUAGCCGGCCUGAGAGGGUGACCGGCCACACUGGGACUGAGACACGGCCCAGACUCCUACGGGAGGCAGCAGUGGGGAAUAUUGGACAAUGGGCGAAAGCCUGAUCCAGCAACGCCGCGUGAGGGAUGACGGCCUUCGGGUUGUAAACCUCUUUCAGCAGGGACGAAGCGAAAGUGACGGUACCUGCAGAAGAAGGACCGGCCAACUACGUGCCAGCAGCCGCGGUAAUACGUAGGGUCCGAGCGUUGUCCGGAAUUAUUGGGCGUAAAGGGCUCGUAGGCGGUUUGUCACGUCGGGAGUGAAAACUCAGGGCUUAACCCUGAGCGUGCUUCCGAUACGGGCUGACUAGAGGGAUGCAGGGGAGAACGGAAUUCCUGGUGUAGCGGUGGAAUGCGCAGAUAUCAGGAGGAACACCGGUGGCGAAGGCGGUUCUCUGGGCAUUUCCUGACGCUGAGGAGCGAAAGCAUGGGGAGCGAACAGGAUUAGAUACCCUGGUAGUCCAUGCCGUAAACGUUGGGCGCU